rnacentral:lncRNA from 1 species
GACGAAAGGCCUAGAGAAUGUACGAUGUGAUUGUUUACAGGAGUUUCUUUUUAAAUGGAGACAAUUUAAAGACUGGCAUUUGCAGAUGUAAGGAAGCACCCGGCCAGUUUGCGUGAGCGCGUGCGUCCGUGGAGCCCGCAUCGCUCGUCUCCAGCCUCAGCGCCCCUGCAGCCGCCUCACUGCAGCCAGAGGGGAAAGGGCAAGGAAGGCGGCCCCGUGCCCCGGCCGACACAGCCCGCUGGCUGCAAACCCACGGGCGGUGAAGCGUCCCAGGAGCAACUGGCUGCAAAGGCCUCUCACCAGGACAGCGGCACCCCUGCAAGGCGAGGCGAUCUCACUUUACACAGAGUAUGGCUGCACUCUGAGAGAAGUCUGCUGCAGGGGCUUCCAAACCUGACAAUGCCUAGACCGGUCCUCUCUCAAGUCAUAAUGUUUCAACUGCUGCAAUUACAAACACAAAAAGGAGGAAUUGUUGGAGAGUGGCCUGUAGAGGGUUAAGUUGCUGAACACAGGGAUCUCGGGCUGUAUUGGAAAAGAGCACACAUACAGCGCUCUGAAGUCAAGAUAACCACACGAGAGGCAACCGAGGAAUAAACCCAAGCAAUAAGGAUGCCAACCUUGGAGCGCAACAGUUCUCUUAAUUGGCAGAAUGUACUGCUUGGAGAAGUCUUUAAACUGAUUUCCCAAGGCCCUGCUCUGUUUCCACAUUUGCCUCAGUAUCCCCUUCUUUUGUUUGAGAACCGAAUAAAUUUGGACUGUCUGGUGGAACUCUUUGUUUUUAACUCCUGAAGAGAGAGAGAGAGAGAGACAGAGAGAGAGAGAAAGAGAGAGAGAGAAAGAGAGACAGAGAGACAGAGAGAUAGAGAGAGAGACCGAGAGACAGAG